CCCUGCAGCCUGACACAUUGUCAGGGACUAAAUGGGUCACGCCUUAAACAUGGUUAUGAAGUUUUGCCCGUUAUAGGGAAAACUGUAUAAAGAAGCUACAAUGACAGAAACCUCCCUGAAGAACUUUGGACUGCAAGUUAAGCCGCCUAGAUAAGAUAAAGAGCAAACCCAUUGUUUAAUAACCUCAACCUCAGGUCUAGGGACAAACAAACAAGGCUGAAGGAGAGUAAUGCAUCCACAAGGAAGCAAAACACAGCAGAGAUUCUUCCCUGGCUGAGACCUGGAUUCUUCCCUGGAGACCACAGCCCACACAGAAACCAGGGAGGCCUUCACCAGCAAGAAGAGCAGCUGCAGAGGAUCAGUGGAGCAUUACUGGAAUCCAUGGAGUGGUGAUACUUUCCUUAUUGUCCCUGUUACUCUCUUUCUGUCCCCUCCACCUAUUUCUUAUUUCUUUCUCUUUCUCUCUCUCUCAUAUUUACAAUCAAAUAAAACCCAUACUAUUAUCACUGGCA